rnacentral:rRNA from 1 species
UGGGGAAUAUUGCACAAUGGGCGGAAGCCUGAUGCAGCAACGCCGCGUGAGGGACGACGGCCUUCGGGUUGUAAACCUCUUUUAGCAGGGAAGAAGCGAAAGUGACGGUACCUGCAGAAAAAGCGCCGGCUAACUACGUGCCAGCAGCCGCGGUAAUACGUAGGGCGCAAGCGUUAUCCGGAAUUAUUGGGCGUAAAGAGCUCGUAGGCGGUCUGUCGCGUCUGCUGUGAAAACCCGAGGCUCAACCUCGGGCCUGCAGUGGGUACGGGCAGACUAGAGUGCGGUAGGGGAGAUUGGAAUUCCUGGUGUAGCGGUGGAAUGCGCAGAUAUCAGGAGGAACACCGAUGGCGAAGGCAGAUCUCUGGGCCGUAACUGACGCUGAGGAGCGAAAGGGUGGGGAGCAAACA